GCGGAUGUAGCUCAGUUGGUAGAGCCCCGGAUUGUGAUUCCGGUUGUCGCGAGUUCAAUCCUCGUCAUUCGCCCCA
rnacentral:tRNA from 1 species